AUUGAACGCUGGCGGCAUGCCUUACACAUGCAAGUCGCACGGAGGGGGCAACCCCUCAGUGGCGGACGGGUGAGUAACGCGUAGGUAUCUAUCCAUGGGUGGGGGAUAACGUAGGGAAACUUGCGCUAAUACCGCAUACGACCUACGGGUGAAAGUGGGGGACCUUCGGGCCUCACGCGAUGAGAUGAGCCGAUGCCGGAUUAGCUAGUUGGCGGGGUAAAGGCCCACCAAGGCGACGAUCCGUAGCUGGUCUGAGAGGAUGAUCAGCCACACGGGCACUGAGACACGGGCCCGACUCCUACGGGAGGCAGCAGUAGGGAAUAUUGGACAAUGGGCGCAAGCCUGAUCCAGCCAUCCCGCGUGAAGGAUUAAGGCCCUCUGGGUUGUAAACUUCUUUUCUUUGGGAUAAAACUCCGUUUCUACGAGCUUGAAGGUACCAGAGGAAUAAGCACCGGCUAACUCCGUG
rnacentral:rRNA from 1 species